rnacentral:sRNA from 1 species
AGCCAUUUGGACAGAAGCCCUAAAUGGCCCAGAGGCACAGCCAUUUAGAGCUCUUUUCUUUUUUUUUCAAUAGAAUAUUUUGACCCCCAGAGGUAUGCUUAGCUAUAUCGGGGAUCCAAAGGUUUCACACAGGAUGGGUCAUGUGUCUACGUGCAGCGUAGCAGGAGCUGGGAAUGGAAGCAAACCGAUAUUCCAGCAUCUGCUUCUAGAACAGUGAUCAGGAUUGCUAUCGUUAAUAAGAUCGGUGUAUGUGGGACCCAGGACUCAUCUAUCAAGCCUUUGUUCUGACUGCUUUUAAUGUGCCAAUCGCGAAUUGCCCGAACUUUACCUGCUGAUCAGAAGCCAGAAUGUCGGCCAUACUGGGAAAAGGAUGACGUUUCAAUGCCUCUGCCGUUUGAUCUCACAGACAUCGUUUCAGAACUCAGAGGUCAGCUUCUGGAAGCAAAACCCUAGAAGGAGCACAAGUCUCAGGGCAGAGGAGAAAAAGAGAUUGGCUUUCCUCUCCAACACUCUCAUGGGCUUAAGCAAGGGCAGUGGAGACUUCUCUUGGCCCCUAGAUUGUAGCACCCGGGUCCCAAUCCAAAACAGCUAGGAAAUGGUGCCCAUGAAUUUUUAAAUGUUUUAAAAUGACCCUGUGUUAUAGUCUGAUUUGGUGUUAAACAGGACCUUCUUCCCCAAAAAUUGUUCAGAUUAUAAAAUGUGAGCCAUUCAGCCCCCAAGGUCCAGGGCAGGCGACAGGAAUGAGCCCAGCAUGUGACAAAGCCUAACCUACUUUCCUCUUUCCCAAGCUUUUUCAGAGACUCUGGAGUGGACCCAGCCCUCUGGGGAAAGACAGAACUU